rnacentral:rRNA from 1 species
UGGGGGAUAUUGCACAAUGGGCGAAAGCCUGAUGCAGCGACGCCGCGUGGGGGAUGAAGGCUUUCGGGUUGUAAACCUCUUUCGCUAUCGAACAAGGCCCGCUUAGGGUGGGUUGAGGGUAGGUGGAGAAGAAGCGCCGGCUAACUACGUGCCAGCAGCCGCGGUAAUACGUAGGGCGCGAGCGUUGUCCGGAAUUAUUGGGCGUAAAGGGCUUGUAGGCGGCUUGUUGCGCCUUCUGUGAAAACGCGGGGCUUAACUUCGCGCGUGCAGUGGGUACGGGCAGGCUUGAGUGUGGUAGGGGUGACUGGAAUUCCAGGUGUAGCAGUGGAAUGCGCAGAUAUCUGGAGGAACACCGAUGGCGAAGGCAGGUCACUGGGCCAUUACUGACGCUGAGGAGCGAAAGCAUGGGUAGCGAACAGG